rnacentral:lncRNA from 1 species
GGCUGACUCUCUUUUCGGACUCAGCCCGCCUGCACCCAGGUGAAAUAAACAGCCUUGUUGCUCACACAAAGCCUGUUUGGUGGUCUCUUCACACAAACGCGCAUGAAAUUUGGUGCCAUGACUCGGAUCGGGGUACCUCCCUUGGGAGAUCAAUCCCCAGUCCUCCUGCUCUUUGCUCCGUGAGAAAGAUCUACCUAGGACCUCAGGUCCUCAGACUGACCAGCCCAAGGAACAUCUCACCAAUUUCAAAUCUGGAACGCGCAUGAAAAAACCAAACAAACAAAAAAAUUUCUUUUGGUAGCAGAAUAAAAAAACAAAAAAAAGGACUUUUUCUUCUGGACUGAACUAUAUUUAAAUCUCAAAGGAUGGACAUCUCACAACCUUCCUACAGCAAGUACUGUGAGAGCUGCAUCUUGUCCCACUGGAUGGUCUUCAGAGACAAUAAUACAUAAUGGAGCUGUCAUCUCCUAUGAUAACAAUGCCUUCUUCUGGAUACCUCCUGAAGGACCUGCCUGAGGCUCUUUCACUCCAUGUAAAGGUGUGCUGCUUUCCCUUUGCCUUCCGCCAUUAUUGAAAGUUUCCUGAGGCCUCCCCAGCCAUGCUACCUGUACGACCUGUGAAACCAUAAGCCAAAAAAGAUACUAGCGCCAGUCUGGCAGGGGCCUUUUCUAGUCUCAAGCACGCUGAGCAGUCCUACACCUUGCCUUCUGAGAGAGAAGAGGACAGUCCUCAGCCUCCUGAAGCCUGGCAAGGGUGCCUUAGUGAGGACAUCACCUGCAACUCCCAGAUGGAUAGACGAGGCCAUGGAGAGAGGAGAACACCAACCCAUGAGUGACAAGUGCCUGUCAUUGUCAAUGAUGCUGCAAGCACCACGAUGCCCCUUCUUAGCAGGGACCCAGUGGGCCUUACCAGCUUCAUUAUUUUCUAGGCAUGAUCGCAUCCUGUCUCCCAUUUUUGCUAAAAUUCUAUCUAGAGAAAGAGCUCAUUUUUAGCUAAAAAAAAAAAAAUCCUGUUUUAUCUGCUAAAAAAUCACAUAAAAUAACUAUUGGACUGUUUGAAAUGGCGUGGCCUCUGCUCUGACUUAUUAACUGUGAUCUUGACUAAGUUAAGCAGUCACUCUGACCUUACGUUACUCCCUCAAAUUUGAAUAAAAAUAGCAACUUCCUCUACUUAUAAAUUACUUCUAAAAAUUAGAUUCUUGAGAUUCAAAGAUAGGUAAUACCUGCCUUCAAGAAACUAACUCUCAAGGCUGCUGUAUGGAAAUCCUGCCUCCUAACUAGAUUGCACUCUUCUAAAUGCUGUACUACUGCUAUACACAUUCUCCAAAUCAAGUUAAUUUCAAAGUCUUGCUGAAUCUACUUUUUAGAAAUAUCUAAGUCAUGUGUACGUCUUUCCAUUCCUGCAUCCCAGGGGAUUGCAGCCAUCAGCUCACCUCCUCUCCUAAUCCAAAAUGUUCCUAACUGGUCUCCUGCCUUGCCUUUCUCCUGAUCACUUCCUACAACAGAGUGAUCGUGACUUGAAAUGCAAAUUAUAUUGUAUGAGUUAUCUCCCAAAAACAUUCAGCUGCCUAGCUCCCUUAACAUGAAGUCCAAAUUGCCCUAACAUGGAGUCCAAAUUUCGUUAGCAUGGUUUAAGAGUCUCUUCAUGAACAAAAGGCUUCUGUCUUCUCCAGUCAUACCCAAAUCUUUCCUAAUCAAAAGCCAUUUUUAUCAGUUUAAGAACAGAGACAGUUGUUCCAGAUAUAAGGAAGAGCAUUGGCAAAGUUGCAGAUAAUAAUUUAGGUGAGUGUGAUUCAGAGAUCUCAUUAGUGAUGCCUCAGAAUGACUAGGAGACAUGGAUAAAAGGAUAACAAGAAAGAAAAGGAGACCACAAAACCACAGUCCAGAUUGUAGGAGGCUUGGGUUGUGGUAAUGAGCUGGGACUUCUCUGCUGGCUAUCAGGAGUCCUCAUCUAUGAUCUGCUAGAAGAAUAUCAUGAUUAGAACUGCAUUUUAGAAAGUUAAGUCUAGUGGCUGCAGAGCAUACAUAUAGAAGGUAGAGCUUUGAGUCCACAAGAACAUUAUGGUUUAAUAAAACUCUGUGAGAGAGAUUAGAGCACAAACAAAGGCAGUCAUAAUGGAAAUGGAAAGAAAGUUAAAGGCUAAAGACUCCAGAGACAUUUUGAAAAAUGUGGGAAAUUAGGAGAGGAGCUGCAUCAAUCAGGACAUCAGUGUUACUGAUUUGCGAGACUAGGGAAUUAGGAUGUUCUUGAUGAAAGUGAGCAAAGGAAUUUUGCAGAGAUCAGAGUAGAACUUUUUUUUUUCCCUGAAAGCAUUCUGAAAACUGUAAACACCCUACUGCAUAAGAUAUCAUCAUCAUUAUUACUAAGCAGUCCUAUGUUAAUAGCCCUUUGGGUCUAGAGCUUGAAUUAUGCGCUAUACCUUGUACUUGAAAGAAACUAUAUCCUGACUAGUCCAGAUGGAUAUUACUUAACCUGCUUUAAGAUCCUCUAGGGAGGAACAACCACAACAAAUCCAAGAAAGGUCCCCUUCCUAGCAACUGUGCAUCCUUCCAGCUGCCUUAUCAAUGAUAUCAUCCCUUCGAUAUGUUACAGAGUCCAUUUGGACAAUUUUUAAAGGGACUCAUGACAUUCUGGUAAAAGAGAAUUAUGAUUUCUGGACUCUUUAAAAUUCAAAUGUAGGGGGAAAAAAAGCAAGUCUUCUGUUUGAUCAUAAAAGCUAUAAAGAUGCAAAGAGAGAAAGGUCCAUUCUAGCAUUUCAAUAAUAUCUGUUUUCACUGAAAACCUGAGCUGACUUUAAUCAUCUACACUUCAGACUGGGCUAAUACCUCAGAAAGCUGCAAAUACUGUGAACGCUGUCACACUAGCACAAAGCCUUUGCAAAAAUUUCCCCAAAAUACACAGAUUAAAAAGCACAUUUUCUCUCUCUCUGUUUUCCUCUCUCUCUCUCUCUCUCUCACACGCACACACACAUACACAUGCACAAAAUUUGUCAUUAAUUGUUAAAUUAUUUUCAUUGUAGGAAAGAUAAAUCUUUCAAUUAAUAUAGUAUUGUUCAUGCUAAAAAAUGUCUUAUCCAUUAAAAAGAUACUCAGUUGUAAUAGAGUAGUUCAAUCAAUACUGGUAAAUUGCACAUUUUGAGGGGAUAAUUGGUAAAUGCAAACUCAACUAGAAAAGAAGAGAAAGCAGUGUGUCUUUGUUCCUUCUGUGGUAAAGGAAUUCAGACCACCACCAGUCAACAUACCUUGAAUUAUGAAAACAGCACCUACUAUUUCAUCAUUCAGAGAGAUCACUCACAAACCUCUUUUUCAAUUGUAUCUAAUUUUUUUGUGCUGGCAUUAGGCAAUGGACCACCUUUGUAUUUAAAGUCUUUUCUUUAAAAAGAUUUUAAAUUUCAGAAAAAGCCUUUGCACUUAAACAGUGCUUCCUUUUCUGUCACUUUCAUGCUUAAAUGGUCGUCCAAUUUGACAUUAACUUUAUCGAGAAUAAUAAGUCUCAAUAGAGCUUCUAUUAUCCAGUGUUCUGUGAGUAGGUAGCACUUCAGUUGAAAGAAGAUUAUUCCAUUUUUAUAUUUUCUGGAACACUAGAGGAAAAUCUCAGACAUUGUCACAUUUCAUUUGCAGGUAAACCUGUAUUCAUCUUAGGUUAACUGGUUACCACUACUCACUUUCACCUAGUGUUUCCAUAUUUUUUUCUUAUAGAGCUGUGUCUACUUUUAUUUCAGAAUGAAUCAUGUGUGGCUAUUUGAAUUUUUAUGACUCAUGGAUUCCUCAUGAAUAUCCAAAUUGUAUUUUCAUUACCCAGUAUAUGAUUCUUUCUAAGUAGCAAGAUUUUUAUUGUAUGUGUACAGUUUGAUGCCAUUUCUUAUGUGUUAGUAGCGAAUGUCUCCUUGGCUUAUUCAUGAAGAAAUGGGUGAUGAAGGUGCCCACAAGCAUUUCUACUUGAUAUUUGUGUUCAGAUUCUUUUAAUAAAGGAUUUUGACAACUCAACAAAUUAGAAGAAAGUAUGGUGAAGAGCAAACUCUUCACAUGUUUGUUCUGCACAUUUUUAUCUUGUUCAUGCAAACAAUAUGUCAAUGUGGCUAUCUACAAAUAAAAGUUUGGAAGUUUUAGCUAAGAAAAAUGCCGUUCUCUAAAUAAAGUAAUACAGUGUGAAAAUU